CGUAGGUAAUCUACCCCAGAGUCUGGAAUAACCGGCCGAAAGGCUGGCUAAUACUGGAUAGAGCGACGGAAUCCGUAAUUGGGUUUUUCGGGAAAGGGAGGGAGCAAUCCCCCUUGCUUUGGGAUGAGCCUGCGUCUCAUUAGCUAGUUGGCGGGGUAACGGCCCACCAAGGCUUUGAUGGGUAGCUGGUCUGAGAGGAUGAUCAGCCACACUGGAACUGAAACACGGUCCAG
rnacentral:rRNA from 1 species